GAUCAACGCUGGCGGCGUGCAUAACACAUGCAAGUCGAACGAUGAAACUUAACUGAUUUCUUCGGAAUGAUUUUAAGUGGAUUAGUGGCGGACGGGUGAGUAACGCGUGAGUAACCUGCCUUGCACAAGGGGAUAGCCGUUGGAAACGACGAAUAAUACCCUAUGAUAUAAACUCUUCGCAUGAAGAGCUUAUCAAAGAUUUAUCGGUGUAAGAUGGACUCGCGUCUGAUUAGCUAGUUGGUGGGGUAACAGCCUACCAAGGCAACGAUCAGUAGCCGGCUUGGGAGAGUGUACGGCCACAUUGGGACUGAGACACGGCCCAGACUCCUACGGGAGGCAGCAGUGGGGAAUUUUGCACAAUGGGGGCAACCCUGAUGCAGCGACGCCGCGUGAUUUAGAAGGCCUUCGGGUUGUAAAAAUCUUUUGUAUGGGAAGAAAAUGACAGUACCAUACGAAUAAGGACCGGCUAAUUACGUG
rnacentral:rRNA from 1 species